GGCUCAGGAUGAACGCUAGCGGCAGGCCUAAUACAUGCAAGUCGAGGGAGAAGUUGUCUUCGGAUGACGGGAACCGGCGAACGGGUGCGUAACACGUAUGCAAUCUGCCCCUGACUGGAGCAUAGCCCGGGGAAACUCGGAUUAAUACUCCAUAACAUUAUGAAAUGGCAUCAUUUUAUAAUCAAAGUUCCGACGGUCAGGGAUGAGCAUGCGGCCCAUUAGCUUGUUGGUGAGGUAACGGCUCACCAAGGCUACGAUGGGGUAGGGGGUCUGAGAGGAUGACUCCCCCACACUGGUACUGAGACACGGACCAGACUCCUACGGGAGGCAGCAGUAGGGAAUAUUGGGCAAUGGACGAAAGUCUGACCCAGCCAUGCCGCGUGCAGGAUGACUGCCCUAUGGGUUGUAAACUGCUUUUCUACGGGAAGAAACACUCAUACGUGUGUGAGCUUGACGGUACCGUAGGAAUAAGGAUCGGCUAACUCCGUG
rnacentral:rRNA from 1 species